rnacentral:lncRNA from 1 species
GGAGGACUUCCAUGCCACGUGACGGUGCCCAACUUUGAUGUUUUGUUGAGGCUGCCUGUCUUGGGGCUGAUGCAUCAGGAGUGACACAGCACAGCUGGGGCAUCAUCUGGGUGGCAGGGCUCUAACCUGGGUGCUCUGCACACACAGUGCUCUGGCUACCUCAGCUCUGAGCAGCCGUGGUGGGGGGAGAAGCUGUAAGUGAGGGCCUAUCAAGCACAUUUCCCAUCGCAUCACAGAGGACUUGGAAAUAACCUCAUUUUCCUCAAUUAGGAAGAUGGAGAUUGUAAUGGCUGUACUUUGCUCUCCUCAGACGUCUUUCAUCUGUGCAUCACAAAGUGCUCUGAAAGCAUGAUUAACGAAGCUUCCCAACUCCCCAGACCGGCAGGCGUCCCACUGCCCUCUUCAGUCAAAGCUACAUGGUUGAGGCCAGCUCCCCAGUGUUUGGAAAUCUGAAGCGCUUUCCAGAUGAG